UACGGAAGGCAGCAGUGGGGAAUAUUGCACAAUGGGCGAAAGCCUGAUGCAGCUAUGCCGCGUGUAUGAAGAAGGCCUUAGGGUUGUAAAGUACUUUCAUCGGGGAGGAAAAAACAAAACUAAUAAUUUUAUUUCUUGACGUUACCCGAAAAAGAAGCACCGGCUAACUCCGUGCCAGCAGCCGCGGUAAUACGGAGGGUGCUAGCGUUAAUCAGAAUUACUGGGCGUAAAGAGCACGUAGGUGGUUUUUUUAAAGUCAGAUGUGAAUCCCUGGGCUUAACCUAGGAACUGCAUUUUGAAACUGAAAUACUAGAGUAUCGUAGAGGGAGGGUAGAAUUCUAGGUGUAGCGGUGAAAUGCGUAGAUAUCUGGAGGAAUACCUGUGGCGAAAGCGGCCUCCUAAACGAAUACUGACACUGAGGUGCGAAAGCGUGGGGAGCAAACGAGGAUUAGAUACC
rnacentral:rRNA from 1 species